AAACCCACAUGCAAUCAGACGUACCCUUCUUGGUCUUCCAGCUCCACUGGGUGCCAAGUGCAGUGCUUUGCUUCACAGCCUGUGCUUUACAACAUUUAUU